rnacentral:rRNA from 1 species
GAUGAACGCUGGCGGCGUGCCUAAUACAUGCAAGUCGAGCGAACGGACGAGAAGCUUGCUUCUCUGAUGUUAGCGGCGGACGGGUGAGUAACACGUGGAUAACCUACCUAUAAGACUGGGAUAACUUCGGGAAACCGUAGCUAAUACCGGAUAAUAUUUUGAACCGCAUGGUUCAAAAGUGUAAGACGGUCUUGCUGUCACUUAUAGAUGGAUCCGCGCUGCAUUAGCUAGUUGGUAAGGUAACGGCUUACCAAGGCAACGAUGCAUAGCCGACCUGAGAGGGUGAUCGGCCACACUGGAAAUGAAACACGGUCCAGACUCCUACGGGAGGCAGCAGUAGGGAAUAUUCAGCAAUGGGAGAAAGCCUGACGGAGCAACGCAGCGUGAGUGAUGAAGGUCUUCGGAUCGUAAAACUCUGUUAUUAGGGAAGAACAUAUGUGUAAGUAACUGUGCACAUCUUGACGGUACCUAAUCAGAAAGCCACGGCUAACUACGUG